GUAUCUCAGAUAUAAUGAAUUAGCUGUUAUUCAUUUAAAAGCCUUCAAAAACUUGUAUCAGCUACGAAUUUUAGAUUUAAGUGAAAAUCGUAUUGCUGAGGUUAGUGUGAUGAAUGUUAACUUGCCGCACAUACCGAACCUUUUUGUAGACAUACGGGGAAACCCCGUCAGCCGGAUAGAUGGUUAUAUUCUGUUAACCAUGGUUGGUUUUAAA